GAUGAACGCUAGCGACAGGCCUAACACAUGCAAGUCGAGGGGCAGCACAUGAGUAGCAAUACGAUGGUGGCGACCGGCGCACGGGUGAGUAACACGUAUGCAACCUGCCUUCUACUACGGGAUAACCCGUUGAAAGACGGACUAAUACCGUAUAAUACAGGGGCUCCGCAUGGAGAUAUUUGUUAAAGAUUUAUUGGUAGAAGAUGGGCAUGCGUAUGAUUAGAUAGUUGGUGAGGUAACGGCUCACCAAGUCAACGAUCAUUAGGGGUUCUGAGAGGAAGGUCCCCCACACUGGUACUGAGACACGGACCAGACUCCUACGGGAGGCAGCAGUGAGGAAUAUUGGUCAAUGGACGAGAGUCUGAACCAGCCAAGUCGCGUGAAGGAAGACGGUUCUAUAAAUUGUAAACUUCUUUUGUGCAGGAAUAAAGUGGGUUACGUGUAACCUUUUGUAUGUACUGUACGAAUAAGGAUCGGCAAACUCCGUGCCAGCCGCCGCGGUAAUAC
rnacentral:rRNA from 1 species